AUUGAACGCUGGCGGCAGGCUUAACACAUGCAAGUCGAGCGGGGGAAGGUAGCUUGCUACCGGACCUAGCGGCGGACGGGUGAGUAAUGCUUAGGAAUCUGCCUAUUAGUGGGGGACAACAUCUCGAAAGGGAUGCUAAUACCGCAUACGUCAUACGGGAGAAAGCAGGGGAUCGUCGGACCUUGCGCUAAUAGAUGAGCCUAAGUCGGAUUAGCUAGGUGGUGGGGUAAAGGCCUACCAAGGCGACGAUCUGUAGCGGGUCUGAGAGGAUGAUCCGGCACACUGGGACUGAGACACGGGCCAGACUCCUACGGGAGGCAGCAGUGGGGAAUAUUGGACAAUGGGGGGAACCCUGAUCCAGCCAUGCCGCGUGUGUGAAGAAGGCCUUAUGGUUGUAAAGCACUUUAAGCGAGGAGGAGGCUACUCUAGUUAAUACCUAGGGAUAGUGGACGUUACUCGCAGAAUAAGCACCGGCUAACUCUGUGCCAGCCGCCGCGGUAA
rnacentral:rRNA from 1 species